AGCGAACGCUGGCGGCAGGCCUAACACAUGCAAGUCGAACGGACCCUUCGGGGUUAGUGGCGGACGGGUGAGUAACACGUGGGAACGUGCCUUUAGGUUCGGAAUAGCUCCUGGAAACGGGUGGUAAUGCCGAAUGUGCCCUUCGGGGGAAAGAUUUAUCGCCUUUAGAGCGGCCCGCGUCUGAUUAGCUAGUUGGUGAGGUAAUGGCUCACCAAGGCGACGAUCAGUAGCUGGUCUGAGAGGAUGACCAGCCACAUUGGGACUGAGACACGGCCCAAACUCCUACGGGAGGCAGCAGUGGGGAAUCUUGCGCAAUGGGCGAAAGCCUGACGCAGCCAUGCCGCGUGGAUGAUGAAGGUCUUAGGAUUGUAAAAUCCUUUCACCGGUGAAGAUAAUGACUGUAGCCGGAGAAGAAGCCCCGGCUAACUUCGUGCCAGCAGCCGCCGUAACAC
rnacentral:rRNA from 1 species